rnacentral:rRNA from 1 species
GUUUGAUCCUAGCUCAGAAUGAACGCUAGCCGUAAGCUUAACACAUGCAAGUUGAACGUUUUUUAAUUUAUUUAAAAAAAGUAGCGAACGGGUGAGUAACGCGUGAGAAUCUACCUCUUAAACUGCGGAAUUUAACUGGAAACAUAGAAACAUAAGGUGAAGAAUCGUGGAUAAGUCUAAUUAAUUUUCUUAAUUUUAUUAAUAAAAUUAAUUUUGAUAAACAUAUAUUAUGGUUAAGAGAUGAGCUUGCGUAAGAUUAGGUAGUUGGUAGGGUAAAGGCCUACCAAGCCAAAGAUCUUUAGCUGGUUUGAGAGAAUGAUCAGCCACAUUGGGACUGAGACACGGCCCAAAUACUUUAGAGUAGCAGCAGUGAGGAAUAUUGGACAAUGGACGAAAGUCUGAUCCAGCUAUACGGCAAGAGUGAAGAAAACUGUAUUGGUUGUAAAGCUCUUCGAUGAUAAAAAGAUUAUGACAUGUUAUCAUGAGAAGUCCCGGCUAAUCUCGUGCCAGCAGCCGCGGUAAUACGAGAGGGGCGAGCGUUAUUCGGAAUGAUUGGGCGUAAAGCGUGCGUAGAUUGUUUAAUUUUAAUAUUUAAAUCCAAUCAUUAUUAUAUAAUGAAUAUUAACUAAUUAAAAUGGACUUGAGUUCUUAUUAAGAGAGUAGAAUUCCUGGAGGAGAGGUAGAAUUCAAUGAUCUCAGGAGGAAUACCGAAAGCGAAGGCAGCUCUCUAGUAAAAUACUGACAUUGAGGCACGAAAGCGUGGGGAUCGAAAAGGAUUAGAUACCCUUGUAGUCCACGCUGUCAACGAUGAUCUUUUUCUAUUUCUUUUCGAAAGAAUUGGAGUGGAGUAGCUAACGCGUUAAAAGAUCCGCCUGAGGAGUACGAUCGCAAGAUUAAAACUCAAAGGAAUAGACGGGGACCUACACAAGUGGUGGAACAUGCGGUUUAAUGCGAAACAACGCGCAAAACCUUACCAGCUUUUGAUAUAACACUUAUAGAGGAAAUAUUAUAGUUUCUAUUCUUUGUGUUACAGGCGUUGCAUGGCUGUCGUCGGUUCGUGCCGUGAGGCGUUAGAUUAAUUUCUUAAACGAACGAAACCCCUGUUAUCUAUUGCUAUGGUAUUGUUAUUAUUAAUAAUAUCAGCACUUUGAUAAUACUGCCAGUAAUAAACUGAAGGAAGGAAGGGAUUACGUCAAGUCUUCAUGACCCUUAUGAGCUGGGCUACACGUGUGUUACAAUGGCGAAUACAAAGAGACGCAAUGAUGAAAGUCGGAGCAAAUCUAUAAAAUUCGUCUUAGUUCAGAUUGUUUUCUGCAAUUCGAAAACAUUAAGAAGGAAUCACUAGUAAUCGUGGAUCAGCACGCCACGGUGAAUUAGUACCUAGGUCUUGUACUCACCGCCCGUCACACUCUGGAAAUUGAUUAAGUUGGAAGAGUAUAUCCUUAUUUCUUAUUUAUUUAUCUGAACAAUGUUCAGAGAAUCUUAAUGAUUUUAAGAUUUAUUAGGUCUGAAAUAGAUAUACCCAGAAUUUGGUUAGUAACUGGAGUGAAGUCGUAACAAGGUAACCGU